UACAGAGGGUGCAAGCGUUGUUCGGAAUUACUGGGCGUAAAGCGCGUGUAGGCGGCGGCGUAAGUCGGGUGUGAAAUCCCUCAGCUCAACUGAGGAAGUGCACUCGAUACUGUGUCGCUUGAAUGUCGGAGGGGAUGGCGGAAUUCCCGGUGUAGAGGUGAAAUUCGUAGAUAAUCGGGAGGAACACCUGUGGCGAAGGCGGCGACCUGGGCCAAUAUUGACGCUGAGGUGCGAAAGCGAUGGGGAGCAAACAGGGGAAUUAAAGAAACCCGUUAGUA
rnacentral:rRNA from 1 species